AGAGUUUGAUCAUGGCUCAGAAUCAACGCUGGCGGCGUGCCUAACACAUGCAAGUCGAGCGAGAAAGUGGGGGCAACUCCAUGAGUACAGCGGCGACCGGGUGAGUAACACGUGACUAACCUACCCUUGAGUGGGGAAUAACUCCGGGAAACCGGAGCUAAUACCGCAUAACACCGCAAGGUCAAAGGAGCAAUUCGCUUAAGGAGGGGGUCGCGGUUGAUUAGCUAGUUGGUGGGGUAAUGGCCCACCAAGGCGAUGAUCAAUAGCCGGCCUGAGAGGGCGCACGGCCACACUGGAACUGAAACACGGUCCAGACUCCUACGGGAGGCAGCAGUGGGGAAUUUUGCGCAAUGGGGGAAACCCUGACGCAGCAACGCCGCGUGAAGGAUGAAGGUCUUUGGAUUGUAAACUUCUUUCGUCCGGGACGAUAAUGACGGUACCGGAAGAAGAAGCCCGGCUAACUUCGUGCCAGCAGCCGCGGUA
rnacentral:rRNA from 1 species